UCUAAUAUGGCAGAAAAAUGCAUUGGAUUUAAACCCCAUAAAUAAAGUUUAUUACUUUUUUUAGAA
rnacentral:tRNA from 1 species